AGGAAGGUCUUUAACAAACACCAUGAAACAAGUGGGUGUGCUGCAGUAAAUGUAACUGAGUAACUAUUAUAUUCAAAUCUAAUCUCGAAGUGAUCAAUACACUAUUACAGACCAGGGAUGCAACAAGAUCUCACACGAAAAGAAUGCAUAUUAAAAAAAUAGUGGCGGGACUCAAUUACAUUUUUUAAUCAAGUUAAUUGGAGGGUCUGUAAUUAAUGACCGAAAAACCAUAUAGUGACCAGAUAAGAAAAAUUUUCAAUUCAAAAUCUCUUCUGGCUGCUAAAUUAUUGCAGCAAGAAUAAUUAUGUUAUAUAGCAAAAGUGAGAGCUCAGCAACACAGAUGUUUGUUGUUUUUAAUGUUAUUCAACCAUCAGAUUGGAGCACAGUGCUAUUCAAGCCAUUCAGCUAUCCAGGAACUUCUUUGAAAAAAAAAAUCCUCCUUUGAAAGGAUUCAAUUCUGAUCAAAUCAGGACAUUUAUUAUCGAUCGAGUCAUGGAUCAAACACCUGUUGUGAAUUUAGCUGUUAAGCUAAUUGUUGGUGAAACAGCAAAGUUGUGCAAAAAGUACUGAAACUUUGACGUUCCUAUUUUAAGCAGCUUUAGAGGUCUUCUGGUUCUGGUUCUGCUCUGCGUCCCAGAGAACCAGAACCAAACACAGGAGAAGCAGCAUUCAGCUUUUAUGCACCACAAAUGUGGAACAAUUUGUGGCGUACAGACCUUACAGAAAACUGCAAAACAGCUGAAACACAGAGCUCCUUUAAAUCUAAACUAAAACCCGCCUGUUUAGAGUUGCUUUAGAUGAAUAGUUUCUAAUCAAUGUUCUGCUUGUUUAUUGCUGAUUCUUAUGACGGCAUUUGAUAAAACAAAAUGUUUAUUGCUUGUUUCACAAUUGGUGACUGUGUGAUGUUUUUAUGAUGUAAAGAACUUCCUGCUUCAAUAUUCUAUAAAGAUAUACUUGACUAGAGAAAGUCACUGUAAAGGUCACAGGGCUGCACAAUAUUAGAAAAUCGUGCCAUGGUGAUCAUAUUGGUGACGAUAUCAGGCGAUGUACAUGUGUGUGUUUUCUUGUUUCUAAUCUGUGUUUCCUACUUUGUGACAUUCAUCAUUUUUGGCUGUUAUGUGUGUGUAGUGUGAGCUUUUUCUGCUCAGAGACUUUACAUUACCGUGAAAAAUACAACUUCCCAACUCUUAAAAUAUAUUCCCCAACAAUAAUCUCAAUCCAACGACUCCUUUGUGACAUGACUGUUGAGCACACUGAUAUUGCACGGACAAUAUAUUCAUAAUGUAAGGUUAUUUCAGGUUUAUCCAGAGAUUUCACCUGAAAGCUGAAUAUUAACUUUUUUGUGUGGUGUAAUUCAUUUGUCUGAAAUUCACAGAGGUAUUUUCUUUAAAUACUGAAACAACAUGAUUGAGUUGAACUUUAAGGUGCUUCUAAAGACUCCGUUUUACUCCAUGGUGUUCAAGUAAAGCCUGAUGACUUUUAUUGUUUUAUGGGAUGAUUUUAUUACUUUGUUUUUACCCUACAGCUAUUAGCAGCUCAUGUUGUUUUUAAAGUGCUUUACAAAUAAAUUGACACCGAGUUUGAGUUGUUCCCUCCUUCUUCUUGUUCUUUUCUCCUUUUCUGUCUCUGUAGAUCAGUUUGUCUUUUGUUUCAUUGUUGGUUUGAGUCGGAGAAUUGAAAGUAUUCUCCAACAAUUGUAAAUGUGGCAACAGCUCCAAAAUACGUGAAGCCAAGGUCAACUGGGUUCAGGUGCCAAUAAAAAGUGAGUUUAAAGUUUGGAAAUGUUUUACGCUGGCUGUAAAAAACCGAAAACGAGACACUUUGCUUUCAUAUCUUACAAACACAGGAUCAACCAUCUUCUCAUCUCACAAACUAAAAGUACUUGUUCCAACCCUAUCAUGGAGAGCAAAGGUCAUUUUACACUCAACUCUACACGAGUCCACAGGAGUGAAAAGUGUUAUAGUCCAGUAUAUCACGAGGCUAGCCGAGAACCUUUAGUGGCAUUUUCCGGAAAGCUCAACAAAAGAUAACAUGGUUUAUAGACUACAGCCUGAUCCCCAAAGAGCUAAGAGUUAAAUUUAAUUGGUAUUUAUCUUUAUUGUAUUCAGUGCUUCCUUCCAAAACUAAGGGGCAAUAACAUUUGGAGGAGGAAAACAGAAAUUAUGCCGGGCACAGGGCAGAGGAAAUGCCUCAUCGUUUAGCACAGUUUCCUGCUAACAGCUCUCAGUUUCCCAUUCAGAGGAACAGUAAUUCUUUGGUAUUUUUCAUAAAGUCAGUUUAAGAAAUGGGAAUCAAUUGUGUCCUUCAAGCAAACAGCUUGUACAAAUGUGCAAUUUCCAAAUUGAAACAGGUUCUUUACCCAGAUGUUAAUUUAUUUUUAUUUUUUUAAAGUUCACGUGUGUUAAAAAGGAUCUAUCAUUGUUCAGCUACUGGACUGAAAACAAGUCAAAUACAGUCAAAUCUGAAAGGAAAAAAAAACAAACAUUAUAAUCGCUGAAGAAAUAUCAACCAAGCCAACUAAACAGCUAACUAAAUUUCAACAAUAUUUACUUACAAAAGUGCUAUGUAUGAUUUUGAAUGAAGCAAAAAAUUUGGCUAGAAAACCCUUACUUCAAUUAAAGAAAUUUGUGUUUGGUGGCGUUUUCUGUUCUUUGUUGUAACAAUCCUUCUUGUUUGAUUAAAGUAAUCAAACUAGAGUUAGUACUAAAACUCAGAAUGGAUCAGAAAAGUGAACUCUGGCUCGCCCAUUAACCUCAGUCUCGGUUCGGUUGCAUUCAUAUGUGCAUAUUCAAAGCAUGUAUGAGCUGAGAGGAGACUGGGCCGAAAGCAGGAACCAGACUAUGUGGGUAAACACCACCAAAACAAACGGGGAAGUCGAGUGCUACUGAGAGAAAUGUCUCAUGGUCCUUUGCCAAAGACAAA